rnacentral:rRNA from 1 species
ACGGGAGGCAGCAGUGAGGAAUAUUGGGCAAUGGAGGCAACUCUGACCCAGCAACGCCGCGUGAAUGAUGAAGGUCUUCGGAUUGUAAAGUUCUGUGAUGGGGGACGAAGAAAGUGACGGUACCCCAAUAGCAAGCCUCGGCUAACUACGUGCCAGCAGCCGCGGUAAUACGUAGGAGGCAAGCGUUGUCCGGAAUGACUGGGCGUAAAGGGUGCGUAGGUGGCCAUUCAAGUUAGUGGUGAAAUUCCGGGGCUUAACCUCGGCGCUACCACUAAGACUGUAUGGCUUGAGUGCAGGAGAGGUAAGCGGAAUUCCUAGUGUAGCGGUGGAAUGCGUAGAUAUUAGGAAGAACACCAGUGGCGAAAGCGGCUUGCUGGCCUGUAACUGACACUGAGGCACGAAAGCGUGGGGAGCAAACAGGAUUAGAUACCCUGGUA